rnacentral:rRNA from 1 species
AGAGAAGCAAUGCGGCGACGCAAAGCGGAACUUGAAAGCCUGUCUCAGUUCGGAUUGGAGUCUGCAACUCGACUCCAUGAAGCUGGAUUCGCUAGUAAUCGCGCAUCAGCCAUGGCGCGGUGAACACGUUCCCGGGCCUUGUACACACCGCCCGUCAAGCCAUGGAAGCCGGGAGUGCCUGAAGUGUGCAACCGCAAGGAGCGCCCUAAGGUAAAACUGGUGACUGGGGCUAAGUCGUAACAAGGUAAC